UCAAAUAGUGUUCCCCAAUGAUUUGGGAUGCAAAAGUAUUGCAUUUCACUACGAAGUAAUGGAAUUGCAGUUCGCAAGACAGUUGAGAGAAUCUGGUAACUGUGGUUUGUUUAUACGUGUGUAUGUGUAUUUUAAUAACGGAGUUAAACUUAAGAAAGAAAGGGGUGCCUGUAUUUUGAUAACUAAAUUAAGAAAGGGUGGAGGUGUAAAGUUUUAGUUAUCUCUUUUAAAAUUUUAAAUUCUAAAUUGAUUUUUUGUUGUAGUUUAAAUGCUGAAUGGCAUUUGUAGGAACAAAUGGUCAUGCAAUUUAGAAGAAUAAAUGUGGAAAUAUAAACUAAUGGAGUCCAAGCAGUGUUAUCAAGGCGAGAGGCGGGUGAUGCAUUCUUGAAAAAGGCGACAAAGCCAAAAUAUUUUUAUAUAUUUUAAAUAUACAUAUAUAUGCAUAUAUAUACACAUACACACAUCAAUAAAUAUUCAUAUUCACAGGAAAAAACAUAUUCAAAUGGAAAAAAAAAACAUAUCAAAUCCUUAUCACCCAUUUAAUCUAACUAAACAAAUUAAUUGGAGAUAAGUUAAACUCCAACAAUAAAUUAAAAUUGAUUAAAUUAAAUAAAAGCAAUAAAGCAACACCAAUUAAAUUAAAACAACAAUCAAUCAAUAAUGUAUCGCCCAUUAAUCAAACAAUAAAUCAAUGAUACAAUUAUACAAAAUACAUAGUCAUACAUGUGCAAAAGCCAUCUAAAUGAAUAAAAUAACAAAAGAUAAUUUCUGAAAUUUGAAAAUUAACAUCCAUUUAAAGUGAACAAGGAAGCAAGCUAUGAAUUCUAAAAUUAUUCAAUUAUAAGCAAUAAAACAGUAUGAACAUGUAAAGUAAUAAAUUAAAAUUGCAGAAAAAAAAACUGUUGGCUGGUGUGGUGCAGUGUCAAGGAGAAGAGGAGAGAAAAGGAGGAGGAAGGGAAAAGGAAUAAAAGGUACUGGACUACUGUUAUAGCAGGCUGGGGUGGGGCCUGCCUGCACAGGUCCAGUAGGGAGAGCAGGGAGGAGGAGAAAGAAGAAGAAGAAGAGGAGGGACAUACCUGGUUUCUGGUAUUAGGAGCGAGAAAGAGUUGGAAAUUUGUGUUUUGGCUGCUGUGAGAGUGUUAUAUGCUGUUUGAAAGAGAUGGAGAGAGGCUGGGGUUUCUAUUUUUUAAAGCAUUUUAAACAAAAGAUUAACCUUGCUUCAGUGAGGCGUUGCCUCUGGCAUUUCAUUGGUCUGAGGUGACGACUCUGUGCAAGGCACCUCGCCUCUGUCAGGCGAGGCGAGGGGGUGGCUUCUCGCCUCGCCUUGCACCCCUUUCCACCUUUAACAACACUGAGUCCAAGUAGCAGCAUCUGUUGUAUGUACUUGUUAUAUUUGUUUAUUUAACUCAUGUUCAUAAUAUUAUGAAUUUAAUUCUGUUGGUCCAACAAAGAGAAUGAGAAAAUGUUUUCUGUAUUUUAUCUUGGAAGGAUAGAUACAUACAUACAUACAUAUAUA
rnacentral:lncRNA from 1 species